GCUGAAGAUGCUGAGAUGGGCCCUAAAAAGUUCUACAAGUA
rnacentral:tRNA from 1 species